AUUCAGCCGACGAGUCCCAAACAGGACGAAACGCUCGUCCUGGAU
rnacentral:hammerhead_ribozyme from 1 species